rnacentral:rRNA from 1 species
GACGAACGCUGGCGGCGUGCCUAACACAUGCAAGUCGAACGAAAAGGCCCUGCUUUUGUGCGGUGCGCGACUUGCGAACUGGUGAGUAACACGUGAGUAACCUGUCCCUGACCUUGGGAUAUCUUAAUGACACUGGGUCUCAUACCGCAUAGGAGCUCUUGCCGCUUGGUGGGGCUUGGUUAGAUUCGGCGGUUGGGGAUGGACUCGCGGCCUAUCAGCUUGGUGGUUGGGUAGUGGCUUACCAAGGCAUUGACCGGUAGCCUGCCUGCGAGGGGCACCGGCCACAUUAGGCCUGAGAUACGACCCAGCCCCCAACGGGAGGCAGCAGUGGAGAGGAGUACACAGUAGGCGGGAGCCAGGUGUGACACCGCCGCGUGCGGGAAGACAGGAUUCGGGUAGUGAACCACUUUCGCCUUAGACGAGGCGUGAGUGACGGUACUGGGUGAAGAAGCACCGGCUAACUACGUG